GAUGAACGCUAGCUACGGGCUUAACACAUGCAAGUCGAGGGGAAACGACAUCGAAAGCUUGCUUUUGAUGGGCGUCGACCGGCGCACGGGUGAGUAACGCGUAUCCAACCUGCCCACCACUUGGGGAUAACCUUGCGAAAGUAAGACUAAUACCCAAUGACGUCUCUAGAAGACAUCUGAAAGAGAUUAAAGAUUUAUCGGUGAUGGAUGGGGAUGCGUCUGAUUAGCUUGUUGGCGGGGUAACGGCCCACCAAGGCGACGAUCAGUAGGGGUUCUGAGAGGAAGGUCCCCCACAUUGGAACUGAGACACGGUCCAAACUCCUACGGGAGGCAGCAGUGAGGAAUAUUGAGCAAUGGACGAGAGUCUGAACCAGCCAAGUAGCGUGCAGGAUGACGGCCCUAUGGGUUGUAAACUGCUUUUAUAAGGGAAUAAAGUGAGUCUCGUGAGACUUUUUGCAUGUACCUUAUGAAUAAGGACCGGCUAAUUCCGUG
rnacentral:rRNA from 1 species